rnacentral:tRNA from 1 species
GUAAUUAUAGUUUAACCAAAACAUUAGAUUGUGAAUCUAAUAAUAGAAGUAUUAAAACCUUCUUAUUUACC